rnacentral:lncRNA from 1 species
GGCCGCGACGGCGGGGCGCGGACAGGUGGGCUGGCGGGGGGCGGGCCGCGGCCGUGUGUAGGCAGCGGAGCGGCUGCGGAACGGCGGCGGCGGUGGCGUCGGGAGCCCCGGCCCCGCGAUAAAAGGGAAGGGGCUGGGCGGCGGGCGGUGCGCGUUGCGGCACUGGGGGGGGGGAGCGUGGCUGGGAAGGAGGGAGGGAGCGAGCGAAGGAGCCGCCUCCCGCAGGAAUCCCGGGCGGGUGGCAGUAACAGUAGUAGCAGCGGCGGCAGCCGGGACGCGCGGCUCCCCCUGGCUGCGCGGCGGCGGGAGGCCGGUGAGCAUCGAGGAGCAGCCGCCGCCUCAUCCUGCGGCAGCAGCCGGCGCUGCACGGAGAACGCAGGUGGCAGUGUAGAAGCCAAGAACAAAAAUUGGCAGAAAUUACAUUCUGUGUACGAGAGAAUGAAGAGUAUACUCAUGACUAAGCACAGGAACCUGGAAAACCACAGGUUAAAUGUAAGCACCACUAACUGUGGCUAUCUAAGCCUUACUCUCUUUACACCACAAUUCCCAAGGUAUGAAAUGAAGAUCAUUUUUCUUCCUAUUUUUUUUUAAAUAGGAAAAUGGUGUUUAUUAGUAUUCUGGAUGUCAUUUUCACACUGCACCAACAGUGGUUACUAGCCUACGAAAAAGUUUGCCUCUCAGAGUUGGAGUGAAAUAGGAUACAUCAGACCAUGGCCAUGUAGUGAAUAGCAGCAUAAACCAAAAUAACAUUUUACUUGCUGAACAAAAAGCUAAUGAUCUUGUGUACUGAAUGGGAUGGAUCUGUAAAAGAAAAAGCUCUAGGUUUUGAACCAUAACUGAAGACUUUAUCUUGCUAUAUGCAAACAUGAAGAAAGGUGGACUUAAGGUUGCACGAAUGUCCUUUAUCUUAGCCUCAUAUGCCUUUUGAGUGCUCAGCUUCACACUGAGGUAGUUUUCUGCACAUAAUACAUUUUUAGAUGUACCAAUAUUUUACAGACUUGCAUGCCUAUUACUUUGUGAAUUAUUCCAUAAAAACAUAAACAAACAUACAAAGAAAAACAGGAAUACGAAUUCCAGGAUAAAUUUUACCUGAUGUAGAUUGUUCUAAAAUGCUCUAAAAUGUUAGCACCUGGCAAAUCCAUGGUUGCUCCAUCUUGAUAACAACCUGAAAGACAAAUAUAGAAAGUAAUUGAGGUAAUCUCUGUAAGAAUUGUGGUCUUCAGUCUUACUGUUGAUGUGCAAUAAACAUUACAUUUGAA